rnacentral:RNase_P_RNA from 1 species
GGAGCCGAUGAGGCGGUUGCUCCUCCUUCAUCUGCAGAUAAAGGAGGGGAGGAAAGUCCGAACUCCACAGGGCAGGAUGGUCGCUAACCGCGACUCCGGGUGACCGGAGGAAAGUGCCACAGAGAACAGACCGCCGAAGGGAAACUUAUUGAGUUUCCUCAGGCAAGGGUGAAACGGCGAGGUAAGAGCUCACCGCCCUGAUGGUGACAUCAGGGGCAAGGCAAACCCCAUCCGGAGCAAGACCAAACAGGUCCCCGUUGAGGUGGCCCGCCUCCUGGGGGCGGGUAGGUCGCUUAAGCUUCUGAGCAAUCAGAAGACAAGACGAAUAACCGCCCUCGCCAAUCAGUCGGCGAGAACAGAAUUCGGCUUACAGUCGGCUCCAACC